AAGGGCUGUAAGACAGAUUGGGACUUAUGCGGGGUGUUGGGGAGGAGAACUUAAUUAGACAAGGUUAUUUAAGGAGAAACUUAUUGAAGUUGGAAAGGAAUGGCAAGUCUACAAGGGGUACAAGAUUGGUGAGAGAUAACAAUAAGUGCUUCUGUGCUCAGUAGAGCACCGGGAAGGCCAGUCUGAUAGGGAGCUGAUGUGCCUCUUAACACAAGGAACACAAACUCAUUAUCUGGAUGCCUGUAGGCAAAGUGGGGAAAGCUCCCAGGCCAAGCAGAGCAGGAGAUAUGCAUAAAUCCUGCUUCUUAGGGGAGCCUCCUGCCUCCACGUGGCUUUCUUUUGUUUGCGUGGUUUUGUUUAUGAGCUAAAUUAUCUCAGGUAGUCCAAGCUGACCUUGAAUGUCACAUCUGCUUGUCCCUCCAGCUCCCCGAGGGCUGGGAUCCCAGGUGUGCAGCUGGUGCUGGCCUCCUGUUUCUCUUCAGACAGAGCUUCCUUCCACUUUCUUGUUAACAUUCAGCCCCGUUCUCUUCCCGGUGCUGUGGCACAUGGCAUCUGAGAUGACAGGGUCACACUCUGGGCAAAGACCUAGACAAAUUUCAGAACAGAGUUGAAGAGGCAGUGGGGGUGGGGGUGGGGGUGGGGUGGGGGUGGGGUGAAAUGGAGGGCGGGCAAGUGAGUAAAGGAAACAGGUUGUGUUCAGACUAUUGUGGGAGGGGAAGUUUGCCUGGCAUGAAGGUCAAAGUCUCUCAUCAGGGGGCCUCCCUUUAAACCUUUCGGGUGAGGAGUCAGUAAAGUGACCCGACAGCUGGUAUUGAGUUGUCCCUGGGAAGUCUAUGUCAGUCAGUUCAGGGGAAGUCUGUGUCGGUCAGCUCAACUAGAUCCUUGUUUGGGAGAGAAAGCAGGAAACAGCUGAACUAACAAUUCACCAGAGAGAGAACUGGAAGGGAGGGUCUGUGCCUGGCGCUUCCACAGAUAAACAAGGGAUCGCUCUGAAUCUUAUGAAAUCAUAUUGGGAAGGCUGGUCCUUUAUCGAAGUCCUGCUAGCACCAAAGGCUGCAGAAUUUCAGGAAACAAGGAAGUCCAAUAUUAUCAGAGAGUCUAAUUUAUAGGACUCAACUCCAGUAUGAAGGAAGGAUGUCGCAGAUCCUGGGAGAUGCUGCCCUUCGCGCCUUCAUGGCAGUUAACGGCUCUAUUUGCUGCACUGGGCAAGCCCUGUUACCGCAUGGGAACAGUGGGUGCCAGAGUAGUCAGGAAAGCAGGAGCUCACCCAAGCCCUUCCCUGUCUGCAAAGCCAACCUCCUCCAAUCAACAAAACACCUAACCCGUUGUAUAAAAAGUAUUGUCUGAUACUACUUUGCGAUUAAAAAUGGAUGUAAAUGAAAGGAAAUGUGAUGUGAUUUCGUCAUUAGACGCUGUCUUAGUUACUAUUCCUUGCUGUGAAGAGACACCAUGACCAAGGCAACAUAUAAAGGACAGCAUCCAGUCGGUAGUACUGGAGGAGUGGCUGAGAUCUCACAUCCUCAUCCACAAGCAGGAGGCGUACGGAGAGAGCAAGACUGGACCUAGCAUGGACUUUUGAAACCCCAAAGCCCACUCUCAGUGACAUACCUCCCCCUAGAAGGCCACAUCUCCUAAUCCUUCCUAACAGCCCAUCAGCUGGAAACCAGUUGCUGAAGAGGCUUUGUAGAAAUUAACGUUCAUCCUAUCUCUGGGCAUCCAUAAUUUGACUUUUAUUUUUCUCUAUAAAUGAGAGGGGAGGUAGCUCAGUGAGUUAAAAGCAGUUGU
rnacentral:lncRNA from 1 species